ensembl:lncRNA
UGUCUUGGCUGACUGACCACAUUUGGAUGGUUGUGCGAAUUUCAAUUUUUGGCUAAACUCUUCUGCUGUUUGUAGGUAAUGAGGCUUUAUUUAUAUGAGGCUUCACAUAUACACAGUGAAAUUCUUUUCUUCGCAUACCCCAGCAUGUUAGGAAGCUGGGGUCAGAGCGCAGGGUCAGCCAUGAUACGGCGCCCCUGGAGCAGAGAGAGUUAAGGGCCUUGCUCAAGGGCCCAACAGUGGCAGCUUGGCAGUGCUUGGACUCAAACCCCCGACCUUCUGAGCAGUAACCCAGAGCCUUAACCGCUAAACCACUACCACUGCCCCCUGUGAUACCACCACUGACAGGUUUUUUCCCCCUCUUUCGCCCAAUAAGAAUGUACCUUUAAAGCUUUAAUUAUAAUUAUCACCAUUCAUUCAUCGCCCUGCGAUGGACUGGCACCCUGUCCAGGGUGUACCCCGCCUUGUGCCCGAUGCUUCCUGGGAUAGGCUCCAGGUUCCCCCGCGACCCGGAAAAGGAGUAAACGGUUGAAGAUGGAUGGAUGGAUGGACCAUUCAUUCAUCAUCUUUAGUAACUAUUUAUCCUGGUCAGGGUCAUGACGGAUCCGGAGCCUAUCCUGGGAAUACUGGGAACUAGGCAGGAGAAAUCAUCCCAGAUUGGACACAAAUUUAUAAUACACGUUAGCUUUAAAAGAUAUAUAUAUUUUAAAUGAAAACACUAUAAAUCUUAUUUAAACAUAACUGACGGUGAGUUUAUUUAUUUAAUUCUAUGACUAGCAUUGCUGAGUUAUUACUGAGUAUUGGACAAAUAUUGGCCUCAAACACUGGAUCAGUUGGAUUUGACAACAUGUGUUCUGAUCUGAUCUUUUUUUUUUUCCUUUUCUCUUGUUUUGUUUUUUUGGACGUGUGCGAUGUUGACUUUUUUUUCCCCCCCAAGUGAAGUAGCUCAGACAGGAUUAUGAUUUCCAUCCUAAGCUCGUCAUUAGCUUAAAAAUUCAUCUCAGGUAUCAGACAAAUCUCAG